GAUGAAGAACGCAGCGAAAUGCGAUACGUAAUGUGAAUUGCAGAAUUCAGUGAAUCAUCGAAUCUUUGAACGCACAUUGCGCCCCCUGGCAUUCCGGGGGGCAUGCCUGUCCGAGCGUCAUUUCUGCCCUCAAGCACGGCUUGUGUGUUGGGUGUGGUCCCCCCGGGGACCUGCCCGAAAGGCAGCGGCGACGUCCGUCUGGUCCUCGAGCGUAUGGGGCUCUGUCACUCGCUCGGGAAGGACCUGCGGGGGUUGGUCACCACUAUAUUUUACCACGGUUGACCUCGGAUCAGGUAGGAGUUACCCGCUGAACUUAAGCAUAUCAAUAAGCGGAGGA
rnacentral:misc_RNA from 1 species